rnacentral:rRNA from 1 species
UACGAGCGGUCCAAACGUUAUUCGGAAUCACUGGGCUUACAGAGUUCGUAGGCGGUACGGAAAGUGGGGUGUGAAAGCCCUCGGCUCAACCGAGGAACUGCGCUCCAAACUACCGUGCUAGAGGAAGAUAGAGGUGAGCAGAACUGAUGGUGGAGCGGUGAAAUGCGUUGAUAUCAUCAGGAAUACCGGAGGCGAAGGCGGCUCACUGGGUCUUUUCUGACGCUGAGGAACGAAAGCUAGGGGAGCAAACGGG